AUGAACGCUAGCGACAGGCUUAACACAUGCAAGUCGAGGGGUAACAGGGUAGCAAUACCGCUGACGACCGGCGCACGGGUGAGUAACGCGUAUGCAACCUGCCUAUAACUGGGGAAUAGCUCCCUGAGAGGGGAAUUAACACCGCAUAAUACUAUUGAUUCGCAUGGAUUAGUAGUUAAAUGUAGCGAUACAGGUUAUAGAUGGGCAUGCGUGACAUUAGCUAGUUGGUGAGGUAACGGCUCACCAAGGCUACGAUGUCUAGGGGUUCUGAGAGGAAGGUCCCCCCACACUGGUACUGAGACACGGACCAGACUCCUACGGGAGGCAGCAGUGAGGAAUAUUGGUCAAUGGGCGCAAGCCUGAACCAGCCAUGUCGCGUGCAGGAAGAACCUGCCCUAUGGGUUGUAAACUGCUUUUAUAGUAGAAGAAACACAUCUACGUGUAGAUGUCUGCCAGUAUACUAUGAAUAAGCAUCGGCUAACUCCGUGCCAGCCGCCGC
rnacentral:rRNA from 1 species